rnacentral:rRNA from 1 species
GGGCCCGCACAAGCGGUGGAGUAUGUGGUUUAAUUCGACGCAACGCGCAGAACCUUACCCAGGCUUGACAUCCUCGGAACCUGAUGGAAACAUCGGGGUGUCCCCUCACGGGGAAGCCGAGUGACAGGUGCUGCAUGGCUGUCGUCAGCUCGUGUCGUGAGAUGUUCGUUAAGUCCGGCAACGAGCGCAACCCCUGUCGUUAGUUGCCAUCAAUUCGGUUGGGCACUCUAGCGAGACUCCCCGGUGUUAAGCCGGCGGAAGAUGGGGAUGACGUCAAGUCCUCAUGGCCCUUAUGUCUGGGCCUACACACGGUACUACAAUGGCGGUGACAGUGGGAAGCGAUAGGGUGACCUGGAGCGAA